rnacentral:lncRNA from 1 species
CUCCUCCACGACAAUUACACCAUGACCGCCCACCGGAACCCCCACCGCCCCCUCCGCCUCCACCGCCUCCCCCACCUGGCCUUCCUGGUGACCCAUUGCCACGACAUGAACAUCCUCUCUUUCUGCUAGGUGCAGCAGUCUUCUGGGUUCCAACCCCAGCUUCACCGACAGUCUCGGCCUGCAAUGCCACGACCAUGAUCACUAUUAAGAAACAAAGCUAUCAUCACGUACCUAAUGAAGGAAAAGGAUGGCAACAUUCAACACGCAAUUACCGCUGCUAUACUGAGGUAAACACAAGCCGUUGAUGAGCGAAAUAAGAUUAAUACAAUUACGACAAUUGGUAUGG